rnacentral:rRNA from 1 species
UGGGGUAUAUUGGACAAUGGGCGAAAGCCUGAUCCAGCCAUGCCGCGUGUGUGAAGAAGGUCUUCGGAUUGUAAAGCACUUUAAGUUGGGAGGAAGGGCAGUAAGCGAAUACCUUGCUGUUUUGACGUUACCGACAGAAUAAGCACCGGCUAACUCUGUGCCAGCAGCCGCGGUAAUACAGAGGGUGCAAGCGUUAAUCGGAAUUACUGGGCGUAAAGCGCGCGUAGGUGGUUCGUUAAGUUGAAUGUGAAAGCCCCGGGCUCAACCCUGGAACUGCAUCCAAAACUGGCGAGCUAUAGUAGAGCAGAGGGUGGUGGAAUUUCCUGUGUAGCGGUGAGAUGCGUCGAUAUAGGAAGGAACACCAGUAGCGAAGGCGACCACCUGGGCUCAUACUGACACUGAGGUGCGAAAGCGUGGGGAGCAAACAGG